UUUUUCAUCACUUUUAUCGCUAAUACUCAGCUUAAUAAAUAAUCCACAUCAUCCCUGCACUACGACCAAGAAUAUUCAUUAGUAUCAUGACCACAAUUUAUCCAUGCACUACGGGCCAAUGAUAUUCGUGUUUUCAUCAAUGGUCAUGAUCAUGCCAACAACUGUCCAUUAAUGCACUAUGGGCCAAUGAAGACUUUUACCUCAUCAUUUAUAACAUUACGGUCAUGAUUAUAC
rnacentral:lncRNA from 1 species